ensembl:lncRNA
UUUAGUUUUAAGAGACAAAGCCAGACCGUCCUUAACAAGUCAAGCAACUUUGUUUGAGCAAAUUUUUAAUGCACCUUGGGCUCAUUUUCAAACUACUUAGCUACACAUUCAAAGUCAAACGGAAAUAAGAUCAACCAAAUCACGUGAAAGACAACAUAAAGCUUCAAAAGGGCGUUCAUGCGUAUCUUUAAUAGUUAAUCAAAGAGUUACCAGGUGACUUUAUGAAACGCACACAUCUUGCACAGGACACCUAAGCUAGCUUAAUACAGACAGCACAUGCUAAAACAAAGUUUUAAAAAAGUACAAAAAGAGAAACUGCUAGUGCAAGUUCAAAUUCCGCCGUUACUUUCUGCAACAAUGUUUAAAUGCAGUCCUUCUUGAAAGCAAACGCUAACAUAGAAAUCUUCCACAUGGUUUGCACGUUAUCUUAUGGAAGUGACUUUAAUUAAAAUAAAGUUUUCAGAAAAGUUAAAGAACUACAUUUAACUGCAGCGCACGCGAGGUAUGCGCACAGCUUAUCCCAAGCGAGAUGUCACUACGCAUCACAGCGAAAUGUCAUCAGCUCAAAUAGCUACAUUAGAUAACACAGAGAAGACAUAUCAGCUUUUAGUUAUAGUAGAAUAAACGUCCGCUAAAGCUUGUCAACAGCUCCAUAAAUGUUGAUGUAUUUGGCAACUCGCUUGCACGCGCUGUCAAAAGAGAAAAAGUGGCACACAGAAGAAAAAAACCCAGAGCGAGGACACGUUUCACACUAGAUGAAAGUCCUAUCAAAAACCGAACAAGGCUUAGUCAUUAAACAAACAAACUUACCCAAUGAAAGGAACGGUUUGGUUUCCAUGUCUGUCUGGUAGGUUAGCUCAUGCCAGCUGAGACGACCGCGUUUGGGAGUUUUUCACAGGCGGCUGCUCGAGCACACCAGACCAGACCAGGGCGCUGCUGCAGCUGCUGCUGUCCUCCUCUUCAAGUAGACUCGGCACGAAGCGCUGCUGCGCUCGCGCUCCUCUCCUCUCCCUCUCGUGCUCCGGUGUGUACAACAACUCCAACUACUGGAUCUGCACUGCAAAAGGGACCUGUGCAGGGGGUACUCCCACCAACGUACGCCGAGCAGCAGCGACACCACAAAUACAGACUUACCGUGAACUUUGAAAUGAACAACGCACAAAUAAAAGGCAAACAUGUAUUGCAUUUCAUCACAGAUAUUAAAAGUCUGCAGAAUUUCCUUGAGGUAGAGGUUAUACAAAAUCGUGCAGAGCCCUUUCAGGUGAGCAGCAGCUAGGCUACUUAUACUUUUCACUGCUUAUCUUAUGUUAUUUUAACCUGGCCACAUCUGUUGAACCAGAGCUAUUAGCUCAAUAGAUACAUGUUUCCAAUGCAUACUCACCGCUGAAGCAAUUAGCCUAGAUCUCUCUCUAGAAACUGCUACAACAUACUAUUUGAUAGCAUUGUAUCCAGUGUUUUGAAACUCAAACUCAGGUAUAAAUAACUGGAGACUGGAUUGGAGAAUUAUAUCAUUAUUGUUAGCAACAGAAAACUAAGAUCCAAGAAUGACAUUUAAUUGCCAGUAUAUUUGCAAUUUAGUUAAACGACUACAUGAAUGUGUUGUACAUUCCGAUUCAGAUGUAGUCAAAACUUUGUCCAUCUCAAAGA